rnacentral:rRNA from 1 species
AUGAACGAAACUUAUCAUCCCCAGAGAGCGCCCCCCAUGGCAAAGCAAGUUAGGAAGAAGGGCAAACAUCCAGCACUGAAUUUUAAUCAUGGAAGCGGAAGUACCUCGGAUGAGAAUCUUAUAGUGUAUAUUCCAAGAGGACCAAUGCUUGAAACAGUGAGUGAAACAAUUGGCUUAAAAGUACAAGGGUACACCUGUUGGUACGUUCAUGAAGGCAUAAUACAAGCGUCCGUGCUAAUUGGUCUGCCACGUCAAAAAGAUAGCUUCAGAGAAUCCUCCAUUACAUAUGAAGAAGAAGCAGCUAAUACAAAAGAUGAAGCAAUGGAAAAAUCAGCUCAAGUGGCCUUAAAAUGCAUCUGUGCAAACUAUAAUAUUUCUAUCAAUGAUCAUAAUUAUUAUGCUCUCGAAGUCACAAAGGAAAGAUCGUUUACAACAAGAGAGAAGGCUUAA